UGAGUGAAAGGGUGACUAAGAUUCAGAUGAUGAAGAAGAACGCACAAUUUGGCUUUCUUUUUCCAAUAGGUUUGUGGGAAAAUUGCUUAAAGGACAGACUGUUGGGGUGAUUGGAGCUGGACGUAUUGGAUCUGCUUAUGCCAAAAUGAUGUUUACUAUGUUGACGGGAGUGCAUUUGUUCUAUCGCAACAAAUUGAAGGAUUCAAGAUGAACCUAAUUUACUAUGAUCUUUGCCAGGCCACACGCCUAGAAAAGUUUGUUGCGGGCAUGUAUCAGUGGACAAAUGAUGUUAACAAGCUCUAUACUUUAUAUAAAAAACAAAAAAGUGGUGCACUUAAUUUCCUCAGAAGAAAAGGAAAGAUAACAUGGAAAAAAACAAAUCUUUGUACUUUCUUAAGGCUUAAUAUAAAAUGUUCCUGAAUUGCAGGUUAUGCUAAGUUCCUAAAAGCCAAUGGUGAAAAGCCUGUGACUUGGAAAAGAGCAGCCACCAUGGAUGAGGUGCUUCGAGAGGCAGAUGUGAUGAGUCUUCACCCAAUCUUGGACAAAACCACUUAUCAUCUGGUUAACAAAGAAAGACUAUCAAUGAUGAAGAAGGAAGCAAUCUUGUGAACUGCAGUAGGGGGCCAGUUUUUGAUGAAGUAGCUCUUGUGGAACAUUUGAAGCAGAAUCCUAUGUUUCAAGUUGGUCUCAAUGUCUUUGAGGUAACCUCCACACCUGCAUCUUAAAAUUAGAUUCACAGAGAUGAGAAAAUUUUUUCAAGUUAGUAUGUGAUUCGUCUAUCAAUUUUGUUGUAUUAGGAUGAGUCCUACCUGAAACCAGGGCUUGCUGACAUGAAGAAUGCAUGAAGAAUGCAAUUGUGGUACCUCACAUUACUUCUGCUUCCAAGUGGACUCGUGAAGGAAUGGCAACACUGGCUGCUCUCAAUGUACUGGUACGAACAUGGAAAGUUGAAACUUUAAAAUAACAAAAAAUAUUGACAGAAUUGAUCAAGUUCCAUAUUAACAAGGCUCUGGCAUGACUUCCUAAAGAAACUGACAUUCACCUUCCCAGCUUAUAGGAAAAGAUCAAGGGAUAUCCAAUUUGGUCUGAUCCAAAUAGGGUAGAGCCAUUCCUAAACAAGAAAGUUCAUCCUCCAGCUGCAUCUCCAAGCUUUGUUAAUUCUAAAGCUUUAGGUUUGCCUGUUUCAUAGCUAUGAGUAUGGAAGCUGAUCCCAAAAGGGUCUUCUGGUGCAAAUUGUCUAGUUCUUGAAUGUUGGAGCAUGGGCUAUUGAUAAUGUAUAUCUACUUUACAAUCUUAGAUUGCUAGCUUUACAAUUAUGCCAACGCAACGGAUUGCCCAUAAAGCCUUCACAUCUAUUUGCCUUUAUGAAUGGGCAUUAGUUGGUUAAAUUUUGAGGCCCUUACUCCUGAGGCUUUGCUGACAGUCUAUUUUGAGGAUGACACUCUUUUUAUGCAAUCUCAUGUACAAUCUUUUAUGUACCAGUUUAACAAAGCAAAUCCAAAAACCAUAUCCCACUCCUAAAACUGGGAGAUGGGCUUCUUUUCUCCCUGCAGAUGGUUGAGGUAGUCACCAAUGAAGCUUUUAUCAUGGAGAAAAGCUAACAACCGGUCGGGUGUCAUUCACGUAUUUACAGUGGCUAAUAGAAUCUCAACAGAUAUGAGAUUUAUUUAUCUUACUGUAGGUACUAGUGUAUAGAAUCAAUUUAUUCCCUUAUCUUCUCUGAGUUCUCUCUGCUCUACCCACGAGCCAUCUCCCCUCCUCUUUUCCUAUACCAUUUUUCCCUUUUAUCUUCUUACCCCAGCACACCUCCCGAAAAGAUCCACAUAGAAAAUCAUGCGGUAAAUUAGUUCCAGCUUUAUUCAUUGAGAAGCACUUCAAGAAAAAAUAACUCUCCAAUCCUAUGUCCAUGGACGUCAUUCCUCAUGAAGUUGGGCUGAUAAAAAUCCUCAUCAGGAAUUGGGUUCUCAUUGAUAGGCUCCCUCCCCGAACCCUGAACUGUUGAAGCUUCAAGCAUCUAUUGGCUAGCAAUAGCAUCCAACAGAAGAUGAAGGCCGAAGUCAGAGAUGUAAGGAGUAAUUGCUAUCCAAAAGUAUGUUUUUUGACUUGAGGUUUCCAUGGAUUACGGGCUUCUCAAAUCUUGUAUGGAGAUUUUCCAAUCCCUUGGAUAUACCAAUUUAGAUGCUAUAAAUAAUGGCCCAUGUUUGAGAUUCACCAUUUUCAUCUGCCAAUAUGAAACAGACGUGGGUCUGUUCAAAAUGUUUGAAUUUCAAAUUAAAAUAUACAUCACAAAGAAAUUAACUCAUAAAA